rnacentral:piRNA from 1 species
UGAGGGCCGUGCAUCUGGAGACCUGGU